AAGAAGCUCAGGACGAGGGGAGUCGAUCGCCACCCAACUUAGCUGUCAAAGCCGCUGGAAAUACCCGGAACGGCGUCCGAAAGCCAUUGCCUCCUUCGCGCUCUUUCGCUGCCGUUCCCUGCCGCCAGUGCUGCUGCCACGCUCGUUAUUACCAACCAUUUCAUUGGCCAGCUCCGCCGCACCCAGACAGUCAGCCACCGACAACCGCACGGCCGAUUUUCUUCUCCCCGCACGAUCUCUCUCUCUCUCCCAAUUCUCU
rnacentral:lncRNA from 1 species